GGGGUGUUACAGAGGUGGUAUCAGAGCAUGGUUUCGUCCAUGCUUCCGGAACUCAUGAUUUAAUCGGUUUUAAAUAUUUAUCGAGUCAAAUUGAGUCACAAAAGGCAUUAGGGAAACCGGUCACGUCCAGCGAUAGGAUUUGUGGUUUUAGGAAUUAGGAUUGAGAUAGUGGAAUCUAGAAUUGCUAGGUUGCUUGGGUAGAACUGUUAGGUUGCUGGUUAGCAUUGCUAGGUUGUUGUUAGUACACUAUUGGGAUUAGUUGUCUACUAACUUGUGUGUGAGGUGUUCUUUUGAGUUGCAGCGAGUAAGUGUGUUUGUUGAUCGGAACUUUAAGGGAUGAAAACCUUAAAGUGGAGGGAGUUCAAGGCCAAACCCAAACCCGAAGCGAAAGAAGAGAAACAGAUUCAGAGAACUGGGCUGUGGUAUGGACUGGACAGAUGGGAAGAAACAAGACUUCAUUGGGGAAAGGACUUCACCAGUACUUGGGAAGACGAAGAUCGAGAAGGAUUUGAGGAAUCUGGACAAGGAUGAUAUCUAUCAAAAUGACAAGAUAGUAUCAUGGGCGAUGGGUGUGUUAUGACAGAGUAAAAGCAAGAGGACGAUUCAGUCAUCAUACAAGUGAAGAUAUAUAAAGACAGUUGUGGAGGCCUUGAAGAGGACACUGAAGGAACUGUCGUGGACAGAGUAAAGAGGUUAUGGAGACGAGUGGAGAAUGUUGUGAAGACGAGCAAUUGCGCAACUAAGAAUUCGAGGACGAAUUCUAUUAAGGGGAGGAGAAUGUAGAAACCCGUUAAAAAAAAAAAAAAAAAUGAAAAGAAAAGAGAGAGAAAGA